rnacentral:tRNA from 1 species
GCUCAUGGUGGGCGGUGGCGUAGCGCUGCUGGCGCUCCUGGUACUGGUGGAAACCAAAGUUGCCCAGCCGAUCAUUCCACUCAAGAUCA